GCUUGGGGCAAUGACGCAGCUAAUGAGGUAUUAACCGAGGCGCGUCUAUUGCUGGUUGAAAACUAUUUCCAAACCCCCUCCUAGGCCUAAGCUUGUCUUGGGCCUCUGAGAAUUUCUGGAAGAGCUCCCUUUGGGGUAAAGCUCCACAAUUCUUAGUUCAAUAGAUAUCUUUUAUGAUUACGCUUCAUAAAUAUGUUUCUAUUUAAUGUAAUAUGUUUCCUCCUUUCAUGUACCUAAAUAGGUUUAUGUUAUGCAUCAGCUUUCUUCAUGUUUUCUCAAUUUGAAGUGAGAAAAAUAUGUCAUGCU